CUCUCUCUCUCUCUUUCGGGGGGGACAAAAGAAGAGGGCGAGCGAUGCGGCGGAAGGUGGCACCGGAUUCGACGGCGAUGGUGGCGGGAGGAGGCGGCGGGGGUGCGACGGAGGCGGAGCAGGCGCAGCUGUUCUCGGCGAUCAGAAACGGGGAGGACCUGGGACCGUUCGUGCGACGGGCGUUCGCGUCCGGGCGGCCCGAGUCGCUGCUGUCUUCCCUGCGUCAGUUCGCGCGGUCCAAGGAGGCGGAGAUCGAGGACGUGUGCAAGGCGCACUACCAGGACUUCAUCCGCGCUGUCGACGACCUCCGCUCCCUCCUAUCCGACGUCGACUCCCUCAAGUCCGCCCUCGCCGACUCCAACGACGCCCUCCAGUCCGCGGCUGGCCCCCUCCUCGCCGCCCUCGACGCCUACCUCGAGGCCCGCUCCAUCGCGGCCAACCUCGCCGCGGCCCUCCGCGCUGCCCGCCUCUGCUCCCGUCUCUUCGCCCUCCUCGCCCGCGCCAACGAGCACCUCGCCGCCGACCACCUCUAUCUCGCCCUCCGCGCCGUCGCCGCCGCGGAGCGCGACCUCCUUCCCGCUGCCCCCCACCCCACCAUCCGCCGCAUGCUCCUCCGCCUCAUCCCCGCCGUCCGCGCCCACGCCGAGCGCAAGAUCUCCAAGGAGUUCUCCGACUGGAUGGUCCAGAUCCGCGUCGCCAGCCGCCACCUCGGCCAGAUCGCCAUCGGCCGCGCGUCAGCCGCCCGCCAGCGCGAGGAGGAGCUCCGUGCCCGUCAGCGCCAGGCCGAGGAGCAGGCCCACUUCCGCUCCGGCUCCACCACCGCCACCCCUACCCUCCGCGAUCACUCCUACUCCCUCCGUGUCGAGGAGGACGACGACUGGGCCGGCGACGACGCCGACGACCUCGCUGCGGCCGCUGCCGCUGCCUCCUCCGACGAGGGCGACCCGGGUCUCGAUCUCACCCCGCUCUACCGCGCCUACCACAUCCACAAGACCCUCGGCCUCGAGGAGCGCUUCCGGCGUUACUACUUCGAGAACCGCAAGCUGCAGCUCACCUCCGACUUCCAGGUCUCCUCCUUGACCCCCUUCCUCGAGUCGCACCAGACCUUCUUCGCUCAGAUCGCCGGCUUCUUUAUCGUCGAGGAUCGAAUCCUCCGCACCGGCGGCGGCCUCAUCGCCCGUCCCGACGUCGACGCCCUCUGGGAGACCGCUGUCACCAAGAUGGUGUCGGUGCUGGAGGACCAGUUCUCCCGGAUGCAGACGGCCAACCACCUCCUCCUUAUCAAGGACUAUGUCAGCCUCCUCGGCGUCACCCUCCACCGCUACCGCUACGCCGUCGACCCUCUUCUCGACGUUCUCUCCAAGCACCGCGACAAGUACCAUGACCUCCUCCUCUCCGACUGCCGCCGCCAGGUCUCGGAGGCCCUCGCCGCCGACAAGUUCGAGCAGAUGCUCAUGAAGAAGGAGUACGAGUACUCCAUGAACGUGCUCUCCUUCCAGAUCCAGACGUCCGACAUCACCCCGGCCUUCCCUUACGUAGCACCCUUCUCUUCCAGCGUCCCAGACCUCUGCCGCAUCUCCCGGUCCUUCGUCGAGGACUCGAUCAGCUUCAUGUCUCAUGGCGGGCAGCUCGACAUCUACCCCAUCGUCAAGAAGUACCUCGAGCGACUCCUCGGGGAGGUCCUCGACGGCUCCAUACUGCGACUCAUCGAAUCCGGGGGUCUUGGUGUCUCCCAGGCAAUGCAAGUGGCCGCCAAUAUGGCCGUCUUGGAGCGGGCGUGUGACUUCUUGUUUCGCCAUGCAGCACAGCUCUCAGGCAUUCCGCUGCGCAUUGCAGAGAAGGGAAAGAGGGAGUUCCCUUUGAAGAAAUCUCGCGAUGCGACUGUGGAGCUCUUGCUGGGGCUGCUGAGGAAGAAGAUCGACGAUUUCUUGCUGCUGACGGACAGCAUUAGUUGGUUGGCGGAUAGCCCACCCCCAAAUGGGAAUGAUUACUCGAACGAGGUGUACAUAUACCUUGACACAUUGGUCUCCACUGCACAGCAGAUACUGCCCAUCCAAGUCCUGCGGCGGGUGCUUCAGGGUGUCCUCUCCCAUAUAUCUGACAAGAUCAUGGGGCUUUUCCUCAGCGACGCUGUCAAGAGGUUUAAUUCGAAUGCAGUAAUGGGAAUUGAUGUUGAUCUGAAGACGUUCGAAUCAUUUGCAGAAAACCAGUCUCACUUGUUUUCUGAUUCGGAUGAUUCGGGUGCAAACGAGUUGAAGCUUGCAUUAUUAGAGGCAAGGCAGUUGGUCAAUCUGCUAAUGAGCAACAACCCUGAGAAUUUCCUUAAUGCGGUGAUCAGGGAAAGGAGCUACAACAAGCUCGACUACAAGAAGGUGGUCGCCGUAACGGAGAAGUUCAGGGAAUCGUCAGAUCGGCUGUUCGGAACUUUUGGUACAAGGGGUGCAAAGCAGAAUCCGAAACAGAAAUCACUGGAUGCCCUAAUUAAGAGACUCAAGGAUGCUAGCUGAACCAGUUUGCUGGUAGAGUAAAAUAAAAGGUUGACUUUUUUGCGGUGCCAUAUCAUAGAUGUAUCAUGCAGCUUUGGUCUAAUCUGUGACUUCAACCUGGAUUGGUCGACUACUACAUAUGUGUUCUACUUGCAAUGGGGCUUUUUUAUGACUUGGAGGUUCUGGCUGACACUAUAGUUGUCUCCUGAGGAAUGGUGAUUGGUAUUUACUGGGAAUAGACUUUGUCAACAUGGAUUCUUCUGCCAAUGUCGUCCCGACUAGGUGAGUCGGUAUUAUAAUGCUUACGUUAUUACUUUUCCUAUCAUGUAGUAUAUAAGAUAAGGAUAUAAAAUUUACAAGGAUGCACAAAGUUCAAUUAAAAACUCUCAAGAUGUGAGCUUGAUUGGAUGUGAUCGAACCGAACCAGUUCCAAGCAAUUUCGGUUCAAGAAUCAUCGGCUCGAUCCGUAUCGGAUCGGAACUGUUGAAUCAUUGACC